GCCCACACCCCUGAUGGAACGAGGAGUGGCCAAGAAGAGCGGGGGACCAAGUAGUGGGUGCCGAAGGACAGAGCAAAGAGCAACUGCACGUUUCCAUGGCUACUGAGGAAGAUGGGACCAAUCGUCUCCCAUUUCCACGAAAGGCACAUUUUUAGCUGCUUUUCCUCAGAGCAUGCUGAAAAAGUCAGUAUCCUGUCCUCCAAGAAGACAUCACUGGAUGUUGGUCCAAGCAAUCCUUGGAAUUCCCAUUUUAUGGAUCAGGGAAGUGAAGCUCAGGGAAGAGAAGUGCUCUGCUCAAGGACACUCACCUCGUAAGCUGCAGAGCUGGAAAUGUAACGCGGGUCUAUGUGAUAAUGUGAUGACCUACAGGAGCAACUUUGAGAUCCAAGGCCCUGGCCCAGCCAGAUGCCCUUCUGUCAGCUGCCACCUAGAGAGCCCCAUACAACAAGGAAGUGAGGGUGGCCUCGGGCUCACAGCCCCUGUGGAACCGAAUCCCGCCAACAACCACGUGAGGGAGCUGGGAAGCAGAUCCUUCCCCAGUCAAGCCUUGAGAGGGAGGGCACCACAGUCCUGGCUGACAACUUGACCUGAAGUCUCACGACACACCCCAGGCUGG